rfam:Phlebia centrifuga strain FBCC195 PHLCENscaffold_2374, whole genome shotgun sequence.
GCUUGGAUGGCUCAGUUGGUUAGAGCGCAGGUCUCAUACGGUCCGUAUGGCGGCCCGGACGGGCCGGUAAUCCUGAGGUCGAGAGUUCGACCCUCUCUCCGAGCA